GCGCUCGUGGUGGAAAUGGCAUACACACCAGAUUCAAAAUCUGGCGCCGCAAAGGCAUUGAGGGUUCGACGCCCUCCGAGCGCACCA
rnacentral:tRNA from 1 species